rnacentral:rRNA from 1 species
GACGAACGCUGGCGGCGUGCUUAACACAUGCAAGUCGAACGGAAAGGCCCUGCUUUUGUGGGGUUCUCGAGUGGCGAACGGGUGAGUAACACGUGAGUAACCUGCCCCUGACUGUGGGAUAACUUCAGGAAACAGGGGCUAAUACCGGAUAGGAGCUCCUGCUGCAUGGUGGGGGUUGGAAAGUUUCGGCCGUUGGGGAUGGAUUCGCGGCUUAUCAGCUUGUUGGUGGGGUAGUGGCUUACCAAGGCUUUGACGGGUAGCCGACCUGAGAGGUUGGCCGGCCACCUUAGGCCUGCGGUACGCACCAGACUCCAACGGUCGGCAGCGGUGGAGAAUCUUACGCAAUGAGCGCAAGCCUGAUACGAAGGCGCCGCGAUCGGAAUACCGUCCUUCGGGUUGUAAACCGCUUUCGCCUGUGACGAGGCGUGAGUGACGGUAAUGGGUCAAGAAGCACCGGCUAACUACGUG